UACCUCCACACACCCACUCAGUCACCACACCACCACCUAAAUUUACCCCAUCAAAAUGCCACCCUUCGCUUUCCCUUAGGGCUUCUUACGAUCUGAAAUUCCGCUGACACAGGUACGAAAGCCAGACACAUACCACCUCUCACCUCAACACAUUCCAUCUCAUAUACAGCUUUUCCCUUACAUAUACAUAUUUAUAAAGAACACAAAUUAUAAAGAGAAUAAUACUACAUGGUAUAUAAUGAGUAAAUAAACCUUAUAUUAACUUAUAACUAAGAAUAAAGAUAUGUUUAGAAGAAAAACGGAACACGAGGGACACUAAGAAAACGUGUUCCUUUUCAAGGUAAACUCGGUCAAUGACAUGACAUCCCCUUCCUAAAAAGAGGCGUUUGGGGCCUGAUUAGGAUGCCUCACGACUAGAUGGGGCGCGAGACAAGGCAUCAACAAUUAUACAUUCUCUUUGUCGUUUACAUGAUGAAUUUGCAAGCCAUGAUCCUGUAAAACCAGAGACCACCUCAUCACCAUUUCAUUGGUGUUUUUCAUUUUAUGCAGGAAAAUCAGGGAAACGUGGUCGGUAAAAACUUGUACAGGCUGUCCUGUCCCUUUGACAUAUACUUCAAAAUGACUCAAACUCAGCACAAGUCUCAAAGCCUCUUUCCUAAUAGUGCUGUAAGCCCUCUGAUAUAGUAGCAGCUUCUUAGAAUAAUAGCCUACGGGUUGUUCAACUCCCUCAUGAUCCUGCAUUAAAACACCACCCACGCCAUCCUGACUGGCAUCCACAUAUAAAACAUUUUAUUUAUUUUUUUUUCAUAAUCACGCAUGUGCAGCACUUGGGCUCUGAUUAACAUUUUCUUAAUUUCCACGAAAGCUUCUUCACAAUGUUUAUCCCAACAAAAUUUUGACUUUUUACUCAGUAACUUGGUCAGUGGCAUGGCAACAUCUGAGAAUUUUUUAUAAAACUGCCUGUAAUAUCCACUGUCUCCUGAAUCUCAGUAUCUCCUUCCUGUUGAUCGGUGAAAGCAGAUCUACAAAGUCUUUAACCUUGGCUUCCACAGUUCUCACUUCGCCUUUACCUGCCUUGAAAUCUAGGUAUUUCACAUCAGCUUGCACAAGAUUAUUUUUCAUCAGGUUUACAGUGAGACUGACAUCAUCCAGCCUCCUGAAUACUUCCUCUAGUAACUGCACAUGUUCCUCUCAAUUCUCAGUGUAUAAGAAAAUGUCAUCUGUAUACACAGAACCAGAGUACUUCAAUCCUUUCAGUACUCUGUUCAUUAAUCUCUGAAAAGAACUUUCACUGUUCCUCAUCCCAAACGGAAGAACUUUAUAGAGAUACAAUCCAUCCAUGGUGACGAAAGCUGAUAUGGCUUUUGCCCUUUCAGUAAGUCCUAGUUGGUAGUACCCGUUCAACAAGUCAAUUUUUGUUAUGAAAUUUGCAUUACCCACAUAAUCUAUACAAUCAUCAACUCUAGGGAUAAGGUAAGCAUCAGGUUUUGUCACCAUGUUAACCAUCCUAUAAUCCAUACAAAAACGGAAAAUCUCUUGUGCUCCAUGGAUUUUCACUGGGCUCAAUCAAGUCAUGCUCCAGCAUAUACUCCACUUCCUUUCUCAUGAUUUCCCUUUUCCGUGAAUCAACUGGGUUCAGCCUCCCCAACAUCUACAUCAUGCACCAACAUACUUAUUUUUCUAGGUGCAUCAGGGAACAAAGAACUAAAUUUCUUAAUAAUCUCCCUAAUCUUUUCCUUCUUUUCUUAUUUAAUUUGUCCCAGUUUAUCGUUCAAAUUAUCUAACACGGCUGAGUUCUCCAACACUAUUCCUCACACCUGCUCAGUUUCAUUUCAGACCACUCCGCUUCCACCUCAGUGGUUACAUUCACGACAUUCACGCUUUUUACUCCUUUUCUACUUAAUUUUCCUCUUUUCCUUCCAUUUCAUGAAAAGGCUUCAACAUAUUUAUAUGACACAACUGGUUCUUUUCUUCCUCCCUGGAGUUUUUACAACAUAAUUCACAUCACUCACUUUUCUCUCAAUCUUCCUAGGCCUAGGUAUUUCACAUCAGCUUGCACAAGAUUAUUUUUCAUCAGGUUUACAGUGAGACUGGCUUUGAGAGGAUUACCUUGCAAUGGGAAAAGGACUAAGACCUUGUUCACAGGUUGGAAAGAUCCGGCCCUUCCAUUCCUGCCAUACCAGCCUUUCAUUUCAAUCUGGCUACCUUUCAAAUUUUCUUGCGCAAUUUCCCUGACUCUCAUUAAUCUGUCCUUGAAAUCUGACACUUCAAAACAUUAAGGAGGCUCCUCUGCCCCUAACCACUUUUCUUUCACCGUCCUCAAAGGACCAUUCACCUUUUACUCAUACACUAACUCAAGUGGGCUGUUGACACUUGCACAGUCUCUCAACGCGAACAAAGCAAGUGGCAACGCCUCAUCCCACUCAACACUCAUCUCUUCACAGUGCAUCCUGAGAGUGUUUUUCAGUCUGGUGAAAUCUAUCUACACAACCCUGAAACUGAGGAUAAUAAGCACUCGAUAGCUUCUGUUCAAUCUUCAGUCCCCUUAGAAUUUCCCUGAACAUGCGAAGUUACUUUCCUGGUCUGACUGCAACACCUUAGAAAUUCCCACCUAUGAGAAAAAUUUCACUAACUCUCACAAUAUUUUUUAAGUAUAAGUAUUAUUAGUUACACAUACUAAUAAUUAUGUAUGUAUUUUGUGCUAUAAGGAAUGUAAACAUUACUGAUAGAACGCAUGUCGAUGCUCAUGGAUGACGUGUAAACCAGGUGUUGUGAUGGCGGGUAUUGGUCUUCUCUGAUCAGUUGUUGGUUGGUGGACGUCUUGGACAUUUCUUGACGUCCUGGUAGUGUCAUGGGUUUGGGGCUGCACAGGUGUAUUCAUCAAGUGUUGUUUAAUGGUGCUAACAUGAAGCAAAUAUGAACUGGUUGCAAAGGGGCUGUGCAGUAUUUGUUCUUGGGAUUCUGCUGGGUACCAGUGAAGAGGCAUUGUUGUUCCUCAAGCAGGGUCCUCAGUCCUCCAUUCUCCUGUGUUGCUCUCGGUGUCCAAGAGUUCCCUCCGGGCCAUCGCUCGGGUCACUGCGCAGAUUAGGAACAAUUCAGGCACCUCCACCUUCCCAUUUGUUGAAUGAGGAACUGCUGCCGGAGUCGUGGCCUCUGUCAUCCCUAUCAGAGAGGACCGUCUACCAUCUGAAGUUUAGGUAUGACUCUACCUCCAGCCAGGUCAUUCUCAACCAAUAUAUUCGGUCCAUCUACAGACAGUGUACAGCCUUUAUUCCAACCGUCACCUCUCCAGUGACAUAUCAACAGUCCAAACAAAUUUUGUGCAGGGAAAUACUAAACUUUCCUCCUACGCUCUCGCAUGAGACCUCUCUGCCAGUGCUGGUCUCCUCAGUCCAUGGGAGUACACUAUUUAAGAUCAGGCUCUGAUUAGAUCUUGUAUCUCGAAAGAUUCUGAUCACCUUCUCAGGACUUCUCUCCACUUUCAC